rnacentral:rRNA from 1 species
UACGAAGGGGGCUAGCGUUGUUCGGAAUUACUGGGCGUAAAGCGCGCGCAGGCGGCUAUCCAAGUCAGUGGUGAAAGCCCGGAGCUUCAACUCCGGAACUGCCAUUGAAACUGUUUAGCUUGAGGACGAGAGAGGUGAGUGGAAUUCCCAGUGUAGAGGUGAAAUUCGUAGAUAUUGGGAAGAACACCGGUGGCGAAGGCGGCUCACUGGCUCGUAUCUGACGCUCAGGCGCGACAGCGUGGGGAUCAAACAGG